UCCCCGUUACCGAGGCAGUUUGGUUAGAAAAAUCCAACUAACCAUGAGGGUUGCGCUCGUUAAAGGACUUAACCUAACAUCUCACGACACGAGCUGACGACGGCCAUGCAUCACCUGUCACUGGUCCAACUAAAUGACGCUCUAAUUUCUUAGAACUACGACCAGGAUGUCAAGUCUGGGUAAGGUUCUUCGCGUAGCCUCGAAUUAAACCACACGCUCCACCGCUUGUGCGGGUCCCCGUCAAUUCCUUUGAGUUUUAGCCUUGCGGCCGUACUCCCCAGGCGGGAUGCUUAACGCGUUAGCUUUGCUACCGAACGGGUCGAUGCGUCCGACAGCUAGCAUCCAUCGUUUACGGCGUGGACUAC
rnacentral:misc_RNA from 1 species